rnacentral:rRNA from 1 species
GGCGGACGGGUGAGUAACGCGUAAAGAACUUGCCUCACAGACAGGGACAACAUUUGGAAACGGAUGCUAAUACCUGAUAUUAUGAACUGUGCGCAUGCAUAGAUUAUGAAAGCUAAAUGCACUGUGAGAGAGCUUUGCGUCCCAUUAGCUAGUUGGAGAGGUAACGGCUCACCAAGGCGAUGAUGGGUAGCCGGCCUGAGAGGGCGAACGGCCACAAGGGGACUGAGACACGGCCCUUACUCCUACGGGAGGCAGCAGUGGGGAAUAUUGGACAAUGGACCGAGAGUCUGAUCCAGCAAUUCUGUGUGCACGAUGAAGUUUUUCGGAAUGUAAAGUGCUUUCAGUUGGGAAGAAGAAAGUGACGGUACCAACAGAAGAAGCGACGGCUAAAUACGUGCCAGCAGCCGCGGUAAUACGUAUGUCGCAAGCGUUAUCCGGAUUUAUUGGGCGUAAAGCGCGUCUAGGCGGUUUAUUAAGUCUGAUGUGAAAAUGCGGGGCUCAACUCCGUAUUGCGUUGGAAACUGGUAGACUGG